UCAGUUGUAAUCUAGCACUUGGGGCUCCCAAACGAGUACCUGGUUACUCUUAUUUGCCCCGGGAAGGUCUGAGACAAGAUCAAGAUUCAUGGUUGAUUUUGAAUUGCUUCCAUCUCUUAGAAGGAGACUUGUAUAACGAAAAGGCAAGAGAACAAGAAAUUCUAUUGGGUCAAACCAAUAUUGGUAGCUCUUGUGAUCCGCAUUUGAAGUACAAUUUGCUGGCUCUUUGAAUUCCAAAGAGAACUCAAUUCAGACUAAUCUACAACUGA
rnacentral:RNase_P_RNA from 1 species